rnacentral:rRNA from 1 species
GUUUUUCGCUUUGAGAUGAGCUCGCGUGAGAUUAGCUAGUUGGUGAGGUAACGGCUCACCAAGGCGACGAUCUCUAACAGGUCUGAGAGGAUGAUCUGUCACACUGGAACUGAGACACGGUCCAGACUCCUACGGGAGGCAGCAGUAGGGAAUAUUGCACAAUGGAGGAAACUCUGAUGCAGCGACGCCGCGUGAGUGAUGAAGGACUUCGGUUCGUAAAGCUCUGUCGUAUGGGACUAACACAAUG